UCGUGUCACAAUGUGAGUUACCAUACUUCUCGGAAAUGGCUGCACCGAUUUUUAUGAAAUUUUGUGUGCAUAUCGGGUAGCUCUGAGAAUUGGCCAACAU